rnacentral:tRNA from 1 species
UUUCAAGGGAUGGGAAUCGAACCCACAACCUUCCGCUUACCGGGCAGAUGCCAUGACCACUAGGCUACCCUGGA